AUUGAACGCUGGCGGCAGGCUUAACACAUGCAAGUCGAGCGAGCGGCGGACGGGUGAGUAAUGUCUGGGAAACUGCCUGAUGGAGGCGGAUAACUACGGGAAAAGGUAGCUAAUAGUGCAUACCAUCAGAUGUGGUCAGAUGGGAUUAGCUAGUAGGUGGGGUAAUGGCUCAUCUAGGCGACGAGCCCUAGCUGGUCUGAGAGGAGGACCGGCCAUACGGGCACUGAGCCACGGCCCAGACUCCUACGGGAGGCAGCAGUGGGGAAUAUUGCGCAAUGGGCGCAAGCCUGAUGCAGCCAUGCCGCGUGUGUGAAGAAGGCCUUCGGGUUGUAAAGCACUUUCAUCGAGGAGGCGUUACUCGCAGAAGAAGCACCGGCUAACUCCGUGCCAGCAGCCGCGGUAAUUC
rnacentral:rRNA from 1 species